UUUCUCUCUCUCUCUCCAUCAUCUUUUUAUACUUAGUGAUUUUUUCUUUCAAUUUUUUCAGUGAAUCAGCCAUGAUUCCACCUUCUCCGAUGUGAUUGCUUUCUCUUCUUCGGUAUUUUUCCAUCUAGAGUUUGUUUUAAUUGUUGUUGUGAAGAUUGUGGUUGAUAUUUGAGUUCCAUUUGACAAAUUUUGGCUUGGUUUGGAUCGAACAAGUAAAAAAUUCGCAAAUUCAAGGUUAGUUCUCUGGUAUUCACAUAUGUUAGUUGAAUGGUUCAAUCUUUAUUGUCAAACCUAAUUACUUCGUGACAUAUUUGAAAAUAAUCUUGAUUACCUCAAUUGUAUAAGAAAAAAGUGACAAUCUUUCUUAAAAUCCAUUAGUACUUGUAAAUGCAAAGAGCUAGCUUCUAAAGCAAUAAAAAUAAUAGAUUGGUAGCUUAAGUCAAUGGAAAUUAAAUGCAUCCUAUACUAAGGCUAGAAGCACCACACUUUAGUCUUUUUGUUUUCAUUUCUUAAAAAAUAUUAACGAUGUGUAAAUGGACUUUAUGAAUAUAUAACAAGCUAUUCAAGUUUAAUUGGUAUAGUCAAAGACUUAUAUUUUAAAAUAAGGAUUAAUGUGAGAGUUCGAGUGUUAGAUGAUUUUAAUUUAGAAGAAUAUGACGUAUUAAUUAAAGUGCUUUGCGAUAAUGAUAAGUAUAUUUAAAAAGGAACCUUUGAAAGAAUAUAACUUUUUAAUUAGUUUAAAUAAACUAAAUUAUUUUAAAUAUCUCAAUUCUAAUUUUCUGUUUGUGUUAGAGAAUUGUAAUUUAGAUAUAAUAUAUUAGUUAAAGUAUGUUGGCAAAUAAUAAAUACAUUUAAAAAAGGAACCUUCGAAUUGGCGUAAUCUAUUAAUUACUUCAAAUAAACUAAAUAACUUUAAAUAUCUCACUUUUUUUUUUGUUUGUGUAAAUUAAAAUUGGGUAUCAUAGAUGGAUGCAUAAUGGGAAUCAUCUGAAUCGUAUCGGGUUGCGGGAUGGAUCUAUAGAAGGGGUUGCUAGCUUUAUUGCUAAGGAAAAGACACUUGAUGAUUUUCUUAUUGAAAGGAUGAUUAGGUGCUCUUGUGUGAAAUACAAGUGUCUUAAGUUAUUGGACCCGAUAUUGUUACUGUUCAUUUGUAUAAGAAGGGGUUUAUGAAACAUUAUUAUGUAUGGACUAUGCAUGGAGAGAGUCAUGCUAGUGUAGAUGAUGUUCAAUUUUAGAAAACAUCUAGCGGUGAAGAAGGUAGUCCCAUAACGGAGAAUAUUAAUGUUGAAAAUUCUAUAUUUAAUAAAAUUAUGAGGGAUGCUUUUGAGAUGUUCCCUAGGGCUCAAUCCGAAACAAAUGAUGCGGCUAAGAGUUUCUUCAAACAGUUAGAGGAAGCUAGUUAUCCGCUUUAUGAAAGAGCAACGCAUUCCAAGUUGUUUGUUGCAGUUACAUUACAAAGUUUUAAAUCGGAUAACUCUAUUUCUCAAGCAGGCAUGUAUUAUAUCAUUGACCUUACGAAUAAACUUAAUCCGACCAAGAUUGACUUGCCCAAAGAUUUUUACACGGCAAAGAAAUUGAUUUCCAAUUUGAGUAUUUUAUCGGAGAGGAUUGAUUGUUGUGAGAAAGGUUGCAUGUUAUCCUAUAAAGAUGAUGCAGGUUUAGAAAAUUGCAAAUUUUGUAACCAGCCGCAUUACAAAGAAGUCACAAAUGCUAAAAAUAAGAAGGUUCCAGUGAAGGCUAUACACUACUUGCCCUUUAUACCAAGGUUAAAGAGUUGUAUGCACUAAUGAGUUUCGCUCCUCAUAUGAGAUGGCAUUACUAACAUAGAAGGCCAGAUGGUGUGAUAUGUCAUCCGUCAAAUGGAGAAGCAUGGAGGCAUUUUGAUAGAGUGUUUCGAGACUUUGCCGGAGAACCGAGAAAUAUUAGCCUGUGAUUAUGUGCUGAUAGAUUCACUCCAUUUGUAGUGUUUGCUGCACCAUAUUCAGGUGGUCCUGUGUUUGUCACGUCGUAUAAUUCGCUGCCUGAAUUGUGCAUGAAAAGUCAAUAUUUAUUUCUAACUUGCAUUUUUCCAAUUCCACGCAAUCCAAAAAAAUUGAUUGAUGUAUACAUGCAUCCCCUAAUUGAUGAGUUAAAGUUAUUAUGGCA